UCACUUUUUAUUUUUCUUCAUUUUAUGAUUUAUAUUCCACAGCUACACUUAACAUCUGGAAAGAAAAUACAUUACAUGCAUGAUCUGUCAUGAGAAAUGUUUAUCUUUUUGGAAAUAUAAUUAAGAAGCUGGAGGUGUGGCAAUGUGGAUGGUUACUCAUGAAUUUUAAUCUGGAGUGUGGCACUGGUGAUGGAUGAGUCCUUUGCUGUUCAGCAGGUUUGGAUCCACUGGGCUGAGCUGAUCUUUAUUUCUGCCAGUCACUACCAACCUAUCGGCCACUGUUAAUGUUACCAUCUAGUGUCAACUGCUGUUAGAAGCUGGGACCUCUAGAUCUCCACAAAUAACUGGAUAAUUCAGAAAAUUUCUGUUUCAGAAUACUCAUUCAACUGAUAUCAAAAAAGAAACAGAAAAUAUAUGUCAUAAAGAAACUGGAAAUUCUCCCCAUUUGGCUUGGCUCAUCCCAGCAUCCUUUUUGGAAAACAAAUGGCACUGUGUAAGUAAAACAAAAAUAAAAACUAAAGAUUAUGAGCUCCAUGAGGGCAGGGAUCACCUCUUCAUUUUCUCUGCAUUCUUCCCGGCACCUAAUUCAAGACCCCUUAACAAACAAGUUUCCCAUCAGAACUUCCAGGGGGUGGAGCCAAGAUGA
rnacentral:lncRNA from 1 species